UUCAAUGCCAAGCAGCUAAACGAAGAUAACUGCUAUUCUCAGUUAACCCCAGGAGAGGCGGAAGAGACCAAGCUACACAUCUGUAAACUUAACCGAGAGAUGCUGCACCUUUCUCAUCAGGUCACUCAGCUGAGUAAGGAAUUGCAGGACAUGAUGCUGCUUCUGAAACCUCUGCUGACCUGCCAUAGGUACGACCUUGCCUCCCCUGACCUUGUGCUGCAC